GUGAGAUGAUGCUGCUGGAUAUUGACGUGGCAAGUGUCAAAUGAAAUGGCACUGACUUGUCAAGUAAUGUAGUGUUGACGUAGUGAGGCAAAUUAGGUGUGGGAAGUUGCACACUGGCAGUGUGAAUUGGCUGCAGUUCUGUGCGUGUCGAAUCCUGACCCAGCUUGUUUAAGGUGUUGGGGCAUCGACAGUGAGAACAGCGUCAGUGGCAGACAGUGAGUCACGGCGACCUUCAAACGUUGGAUUAUAUUGGGUUUGGGUUAUGAUUCGAGUUGAAAUCUGAUCCAAUUGGAAAUCAGCUUCUGGGCAGUGUUUGGCAGCCGAAUUUGCUUUGGACCUGCCUGAGUGUCGCCUGUUAAUGGUUGGUGGUGGUGCAGUGGUUUGAUGAGAGAAGAGUUGUGGUUUAAAGAUGGG
rnacentral:misc_RNA from 1 species